AUAGGCAAGAUGUGGAAGUGGUGUGAGCCAUUAAGCUAACUUGUACUAAUUACCCGUGAGGCUUAACCAUACAACGCCAAACGCGUUU
rnacentral:rRNA from 1 species